rnacentral:tRNA from 1 species
AAUACUGCGCCGGACGAACGGAUAACAUUGAUGCUGUUAAUUAUGGAUAAUACCCCAGUAUUC